AACCCAGGAGCCGGUUCCCAGCCUCCAGCCGCGCGCCUGCCGGAAGAGGGGAGAGAAAGGAGGGGUAAAACCCUUCACGCGCCUGCGCUCAGCAGCCUGCCGGCUCAGCCAAGGAGAGCUCUGCCCGCGGCUCACUCCCCACCUACUCGCGUCUCGCGUCUCGCGCCACGCGGACCCCAGAAACCCGGACCCGAGAGCGAACGCGUCGCGCUCCCGCGCAGACUUAAGGUCCCGGGCGGGCGCCUGCGCACGAGCUUCCCAGGCGCGCAAGCUGCGGGGUUAUUAGAGGUGGAGCGCGGGGAGGGCGCGCGGCAGGAGGCGGUCGCCGUUACGGCGCGAGCGUGGUCACGUGGCCGCUGGUCACCGCCGCCACCCCCUCCCGCCCUGUUCUCUUUCAGGUCGGGCCGGGCCCGGCAGGUUCCGCGAGCGCCUGGCAGACUGAGGGAGAGAGAGAGAGAGAAAGAGGAGGGGAGGAGGAGGAUUCAGGGAAUAGGAGCUGGGGAGCCCUUCUGCGCCACAGGAAGUGUUUUCCUUUGAUUUAUAUACAUGGAUUUAGAAAUGUGUAUAUCAUACAUAUCUGUGUCUUUUCUGUUCUGGAGAUGAACAACCACAGAUACUAUCAGGGAGAUGCUGUUUUUCCAGCAGCUAAGUUGAGGAAGAACUUAGUUCAUCUCUGUUUCGUGAUUCCUCUUCAAUUUGUUUGCUAACCAAGACUUGUGUUUGGAGAACUCUAUUGUACUGAGCCUAAGUCAUCUUUGAUCUAUAACAAGAAACAUGCAUUUUCACAUGUCAACCAGAUUUGUGGACCAGUAAAGUUCUCCCAAAAGGUAAGCAUAUAUAUAUUUAAAAUAUACAUUUUAAAAUAGAAUAGUCUAAAUACUCUUACCACAAUAAUGUGUUCCAUAGAUAUUUGUGCAAAAAAAAAGAAAAAAAGUAUGUGUGUGUACUUCUGCCAAAUUUAGAUUGAAGACUUCUUCAGGGAAUAGUGUUGCGCCUGCAACACAGUUACUCAGUUUCCUCAUCUGUUUCUGUCUUACCUCCUACUUUCAGUCACCAGUUUCCAUUCUUUUCCCUUUGCUCAUUGUUUUUCUUCUCAGUUGGCUGAAUCUUCCAGGUGUCUUUUAAAAAUGUUUUCCCACCAGCGGAUUUAAGCACUUUCCUUAAGGAACACUUUUUGUAUCCAUAGGCCUUUUAUUUUCUAUUCUCCACCCCACAACAUUUGAUGCAGUUUCUUUUCUGCAUCAAUGAAGCUGCCUUUUCCCUUGUCUCUUCUGUGCUUCUCAUCCCUUUCCCCGUUCAAUAUAAGCGAUCAAAUGACUUAAGAACUGGAUUACUGCUGGGAAACUCCGCAGUCCUUACUGGGUUCUUUUAUAGUAAGAGGUACACAAGUGUUGAGAUCUCAGAAUUUUAAAGAAAAAUAAAUCUUUGAUGUAAUCAUAUCUUUAUAGUAAC
rnacentral:lncRNA from 13 species